AUCUAGCUGACGAGUCCAAUAUAGAAUGAAACGCACUUUGUCCUGGAU
rnacentral:hammerhead_ribozyme from 1 species